rnacentral:rRNA from 1 species
UCUCGCGUCAGGAUAUGCCUAGGUGGGAUUAGCUAGUUGGUGAGGUAAGGGCUCACCAAGGCGACGAUCCCUAGCUGGUCUGAGAGGAUGAUCAGCCACACUGGAACUGAGACACGGUCCAGACUCCUACGGGAGGCAGCAGUGGGGAAUAUUGCACAAUGGGCGCAAGCCUGAUGCAGCCAUGCCGCGUGUGUGAAGAAGGCCUUCGGGUUGUAAAGCACUUUCAGUCGUGAGGAAGGUAGUGUAGUUAAUAGCUGCAUUAUUUGACGUUAGCGACAGAAGAAGCACCGGCUAACUCCGUGCCAGCAGCCGCGGUAAUACGGAGGGUGCGAGCGUUAAUCGGAAUUACUGGGCGUAAAGCGCAUGCAGGUGGUUUGUUAAGUCAGAUGUGAAAGCCCGGGGCUCAACCUCGGAAUUGCAUUUGAAACUGGCAGACUAGAGUACUGUAGAGGGGGGUAGAAUUUCAGGUGUAGCGGUGAAAUGCGUAGAGAUCUGAAGGAAUACCGGUGGCGAAGGCGGCCCCCUGGACAGAUACUGACACUCAGAUGCGAAAGCGUGGGGAGCAAACAGGAUUAGAUACCCUGGUAGUCCACGCCGUAAACGAUGUCUACUUGGAGGUUGUGGCCUUGAGCCGUGGCUUUCGGAGCUAACGCGUUAAGUAGACCGCCUGGGGAGUACGGUCGCAAGAUUAAAACUCAAAUGAAUUGACGGGGGCCCGCACAAGCGGUGGAGCAUGUGGUUUAAUUCGAUGCAACGCGAAGAACCUUACCUACUCUUGACAUCCAGAGAACUUUCCAGAGAUGGAUUGGUGCCUUCGGGAACUCUGAGACAGGUGCUGCAUGGCUGUCGUCAGCUCGUGUUGUGAAAUGUUGGGUUAAGUCCCGCAACGAGCGCAACCCUUAUCCUUGUUUGCCAGCGAGUAAUGUCGGGAACUCCAGGGAGACUGCCGGUGAUAAACCGGAGGAAGGUGGGGACGACGUCAAGUCAUCAUGGCCCUUACGAGUAGGGCUACACACGUGCUACAAUGGCGCAUACAGAGGGCGGCCAACUUGCGAAAGUGAGCGAAUCCCAAAAAGUGCGUCGUAGUCCGGAUUGGAGUCUGCAACUCGACUCCAUGAAGUCGGAAUCGCUAGUAAUCGUGGAUCAGAAUGCCACGGUGAAUACGUUCCCGGGCCUUGUACACACCGCCCGUCACACCAUGGGAGUGGGCUGCAAAAGAAGUAGGUAGUUUAACCUUCGGGGGGACGCUUACCACUUUGUGGUUCAUGACUGGGGUGAAGUCGUAACAAGGUAGCGCUAGGGGAACCUGGCGCUGGAUCACCUCCU